rnacentral:rRNA from 1 species
ACGGGAAGAGCCCAAACCAACAAGCUUGCUUGUUGGGGUUGUAGGACACUCUAUACGGAGUUACAAAGGACGACAUUAGACGAAUCAUCUGGAAAGAUGAAUCAAAGAAGGUAAUAAUCCUGUAGUCGAAAAUGUUGUCUCUCUUGAGUGGAUCCUGAGUACGACGGAGCACGUGAAAUUCCGUCGGAAUCUGGGAGGACCAUCUCCUAAGGCUAAAUACUCUCUAGUGACCGAUAGUGAACCAGUACCGUGAGGGAAAGGUGAAAAGCACCCCGGAAGGGGAGUGAAA